rnacentral:rRNA from 1 species
GACGUAGGACGCAAGCGUUAUCCGGAGUUACUGGGCGUAAAGGGCAGGUAGGCGGGUCGCUAAGUUGGGUGUGAAAUCUCCCAGGCUUAACCGGGAGGGUGCACUCAAGACUGGCGGUCUGGAGGGCGGCAGAGGAGCGUGGAAUUCCGGGUGGAGUGGUGAAAUGCGUAGAGAUCCGGAGGAACACCAGAGGCGAAAGCGGGGCUCUGGGCCGCACCUGACGCUGAACUGCGAAAGCCAGGGGAGCGAACGGG